AUUUAAAUUAUAGGGAUAAAAAGGAUGUCUAGGUACUUUAAGACGAUGAAGGACGUAAAAAAUAUAUAUAUACGAAAAACUUAUUUAAAGCAUAUAUACACUUUAAAAUAAGAUCUCCGAAUAGGGAAACCUUUUAAUAUUUUUUAAAUUAAAAAUGAUUUACUUGAGGAACUGAAUCAUCUUAGUACUCAAAGGAAAAGAAAAUAACAAUUAUUCCCUUAGUAGUGGCGAACGAGUAGGGAUAAGAAACGUUAGACGUUUAGUUUAAAUAAAAUAAAGUAAAUAUAAACAACUAGUUUAUAUUGAAGAAACAAGAACUUCCUUGUAAAACUAAAUACUUUAAAGUAACCGAUAGUGUACUAGUACCGUGAGGGAAAGAUGAAAAGAACCCCGGGAGGGGAGUGAAAAGAGACUGAAAUUUUAAUCCUAACAACAAUAGAAGGGUAUAUGAACCUAACUAUUUGCCUGUUGAAGAAGGAACCGAUAAGCUUUGGUUUUUAAGCAAAAGGCUAAAAUUAAACUUGAAGCCAUAGUG
rnacentral:ncRNA from 1 species